GAUCCUGGCUCAGGAUGAACGCUAGCUACAGGCUUAACACAUGCAAGUCGAGGGGCAGCAUGGUCUAGCAAUAGACUGAUGGCGACCGGCGCACGGGUGAGUAACACGUAUCCAACCUACCGGCUAUUCCGGGAUAGGCCUUUCGAAAGAAAGAUUAAUACCGGAUAGUAUAGCGAGAAGGCAUCUUCUUGCUAUUAAAGAAUUUCGAUAACCGAUGGGGAUGCGUUCCAUUAGUUUGUGG
rnacentral:rRNA from 1 species